rnacentral:lncRNA from 1 species
CCCCACUGUCUGUUUCUCUCCUUUCUCUUUCCUGCCUACCCCCUGCACAGUCACAGUUGUCAGUGGCACACACACAUUCGACCCCUUUUCAGGCUGCGCUGCUAGAAUGGAGUGAAUCUGAGACCUCACAGGAGUUGCUAUGUCUCACAGGAUGACUUCUUUUUCAUUCCGGGAAAAUGGAAAAGCAAAACAAAAACAAAACAGAACAGUAACUCAGGGCUCAUAAGGAUGGAUCUUCAGUGUUAUUGAAAUAACAGCCGGCUAACAGGAAUUGUUCAGCUCACUAGACAGUUGCAGGUUUAACAUAGGGGGGUAAUUGAAUUAGAUCAUUGUCAUAUUUGGACAAGGCUCAUGCUUGUUUACGUUAAGUUAUUAGAAACAACUUAAAUCACAAGGACUAUCAAGCAUGAAAGAGAUAAUUGAUAAAUAUUUUUACUGACAAUUAUACUAGCAUAAAAGAUUGUAGAAGAAUAUUUUUAAAUGUCCAAACUAUUAUUACCUGUUUGAAUUCUUAUAAAGCUUUGCGGUCUUUGUUUUUCUCUAAAGAACUUCUAAACUACAGAGGGUCAAGAAUGUUUUCAAUAAUUCCUAAUUGUCAUAAUAAGAUCCUGUCUUUUAAUCAACAUGAUGAUGUUUAACAUGUUUAUUGUCUAUUUUCUAAAGCUUGAAUCAUUAUCAGAUGCAGACAAGUGUUUGGUGUGCAUAGACUAGACUUGUCUUUCUAUCUAGAUUUUAAGCUCCACUAGGAAAAGAACUAUAUUUAGUCCAUUUCUUGUGAUUCUAUAAUAUGUGCACUGAGUAGGCACUCAAUAUAUACUUGCUGGUUUCUGUAGAGGCUUCAAAUUGUUAUAGCCAAGAGCACAGUCUCUGAAGCCAGAAUGCCUGUGUUCAAAUCUGGGCUUAGCCACUUACCAGCUAUAUGACCUUAGGCAAAUUCCUUCACCUCUCUGUGCCUCAAUUUCUUUAUCAC